ACACGACUCUCGGCAAUGGAUAUCUCGGCUCUCGCAUCGAUGAAGAGCGCAGCGAAAUGCGAUACGUGGUGCGAAUUGCAGAAUCCCGCGAACCAUCGAGUCUUUGAACGCAAGUUGCGCCCGAGGCCAACCGGCUAAGGGCACGUCCGCCUGGGCGUCAAGC
rnacentral:rRNA from 2 species